CUGUGCUUGCAGCUUGGUGAGACCCAAACAUCACUGAAGGCAUUUUCUGCUCUUCUCUUGCAGUGAAGUCCCAGGUAUGUGAGAGCAGAACAGCUCUGUUGCGGGGCAGGACGUGGGGCUCGACACGAAGCACGCCUUGAAGAACUGCCCCACACAUGUUUUCUCCCUCCAGAGACUUUCAGGCUGUAAGAUUUGCCUGUGGCAAAGCUGCAAAGGAACCAGCCCCAUAACCAAGAUGUCACAAAGCCUCAAGAUCUGAGGGGAAAAAGCAGCUGGGUUAGGUAAAUGACAGGGGAAGAAGGAAGCUCUGUGCGUAGCCCCAUACCCUGCUGCUGCUGCAAAGAGACGGGCUGCUACCGUCCUGCAUGUGAGCUAGAGGCAUUGAUUCCUCUCUGGCACACGGAAUAUUCUGAGCGUUUCUCCGGUUAUAGUUGUAUCGCCCGUCUGAUCUCUAGGAAUGUUUAUGGACAGUGGACAGUCUAUUUAUUGUACGUGAUGUCUUUCCAUUAAGACAUCUCUUCCACGACACCCACUGCGGUAUUUGUUUCCAACAAAAGUAUAAGCUGUCUUUUCUUUCUCUCUUUCUUUUUUUUUUUUUUUUUUUUUUUUUUUUUUUUUUUUUUUUUUUUUUUAAAUAUUGUAAGCUUUAAAUAAAUCUAAUUUCCAUUUGGAUGAAGUGUAACUG
rnacentral:lncRNA from 1 species